rnacentral:rRNA from 1 species
UCUGGCCCCAGGCCCGAGUUGUAAUUUGCAGAGGAUGCUUUUGGCGCGGUGCCUUCCGAGUUCCCCUGGAACGGGACGCCAUAGAGGGUGAGAGCCCCGUACGGUUGGACACCAAGCCUUUGUAAAGCUCCUUCGACGAGUCGAGUAGUUUGGGAAUGCUGCUCUAAAUGGGAGGUACAUUUCUUCUAAAGCUAAAUAUUGGCCAGAGACCGAUAGCGCACAAGUAGAGUGAUCGAAAGAUGAAAAGCACUUUGAAAAGAGGGUUAAACAGCACGUGAAAUUGUUAAAAGGGAAGCGCUUGUGACCAGACUUGCGUCCGGUGAAUCACCCAGCUCUCGCGGCUGGGGCACUUCGCCGGCACAGGCCAGCAUCAGCUUGCCGUCGGGGACAAAAGCUUCAGGAACGUAGCUCCUCUCGGGGAGUGUUAUAGCCUGUUGUAUAAUACCC